rnacentral:rRNA from 1 species
UGAGCAAUCUGCCCUUCUCAUCGGAAUAAGCGUUGGAAACGACGUCUAAUGCCGAAUACGACCUCCUUUCGCAUGAUCGGAGGUGGAAAGCUCCGGCGGAGAAGGAUGAGCUCGCGGCCUAUCAGCUAGUUGGUGUGGGUAAUGGCCCACCAAGGCGACGACGGGUAGCCGGCCUGAGAGGGUGACCGGCCACACGUGGGACUGAGACACGGCCCAGACCACCGUACGGGAGCAG